GGCAGAUCCUUCUUGCAUAUUUUGAGCAAGAGCUGUCAGAGGAAGCUUUUUAUGUCUCUUAUCAGGGUCUGUACCAUACUGGCCCUGAAAACACGCAAUUAACCGUUUCUGUGCUAUGUGGAAAACAGAUCUCACAGUGUCAAGACGUCUCUCGAUCUGCAGCAGGUCUUCACUAAGCACCUCCGUUUUCUCAGCCCUGCCGACGGUCUGGUUGGCCAGCUGCUUCAUGCGAUUGAAUUGCUUCUUCAUGGCGGCGGCCGCACCCCGGCCUCCCGCCGGGCUCCCGCUGCCUGCGCUGCGCUGACGCCGCCUCCUCCCUGCUCACGGCCCCGCC
rnacentral:lncRNA from 1 species